GGGCGGAUGUCCGAGUGGUUAAUGGAGGCGGCCUGUAAAGUCGCUGGCUUACGCCUACGCUGGUUCGAACCCAGCUCCGCCCACCA
rnacentral:tRNA from 1 species